GGAGGGACCAUAGGCGUGGUGCAGCAGCAGCAGCAGCAGGGGAGCACAAGUAGAGCUUCUAUUGCAGGAAUGGACUGAUGAAGCUAUCAUUUGGAAACAUGACAUUGAAGAUGAAUGUUUUUAACAUUUGCAAGCAACCUGGAGAUAAUAAUGAUUUACAGGAAGUGGAGUUUAUUGAAAAAUUAGUUCAUGAUCAAUUUGAAACUAUUUCCAGUAAAAUUGAGUUUAAUGAA